rnacentral:rRNA from 1 species
GACGAACGCUGGCGGCGUGCUUAACACAUGCAAGUCGAACGGAAAGGCCCUGCUUUUGUGGGGUGCUCGAGUGGCGAACGGGUGAGUAACACGUGAGUAACCUGCCCUUGACUUUGGGAUAACUUCAGGAAACUGGGGCUAAUACCGGAUAGGAGCUCCUGCUGCAUGGUGGGGGUUGGAAGGUUUCGGCGGUUGGGGAUGGACUCGCGGCUUAUCAGCUUGUUGGUGGGGUAGUGGCUUACCAAGGCUUUGACGGGUAGCCGGCCUGGGAGGGUGACCGGCCACAUUGGGACUGAGAUACGGCCCAGACUCCUACGGGAGGCAGCAGUGGGGUAUAUAGCACAAUGGGCGGAAGCCUGGUGCAGCAACGCCGCGUGCGGGAUGACAGCCUUCGGGUUGUAAACCGCUUUCGCCUGUGACGAAGCGUGAGUGACGGUAAUGGGUAAAGAAGCACCGGCUAACUACGUG